GCAUAACCACAUAGACGUUUUUGUAAGCAGCUAUUUCAAGAUCACUUCAGGGAUUUGAAGAAGAGAGCAGUGAAGGAUGGCAGCAGGCUUUCAGGUGAUGCCAGAGCUACUGCUCCUCAGAACACACUUAGAAAAGCAAAGAUAAGAGAUGCAAGUGAAUUACAGGGUAAAAUGAACAUCAACAACUUUAAAGGAGAAAAGAAGGAAAAUACAAGCUACAAAGUGGAAAAUCUAUCGCCUGAAGGCAGGAAGGAGUAUAUGGAAGCUGGCACUCAGUAUUUACAAGGUUGUCUGUUACACUCCUUAAAGUCAGGUACGUGGCUAAAGAGCUAGAAUAUGCUUGUUAUUGCAUGAGUCUCUGUUUUUGGCAACAAUUGGCAUCACCAAUUUAUUCUUCCCCUUCAUUAUCAGUUUUUUACAACCCAUCUAUUCCCAAAAGUGUUACAAGGCUGAAGCAAGCAAGCUGAUUUGCCAUACCCAGCUAUAUCUUGGAAAGUAAGACAGGAAAUAGAGCCAUAGCAGCUGAGAUGAGGACUAGGAUCUCCAGUUUGGGAGAAAUAACAUGGUGGUCACAGCAUGAGUUUUGCAGUCUUUGAUAUUACAUGUGGCUUUGGCACCUACAAAAUUUAAAUUAAGUUUCUCAUCCUCUAUGAGUUUCAAUUUUCUUAUAAAAUAUCGAAAUUAUAUUGUACUUAUAUAUAAAUACAAUUUAUGUAAAUUGUAUAAAUAUUAUAUAAAUAUUAAAUUAAAUUUAAUAUUUAAAUUUAUAAAUUUAAUAUAAAUAUUAAAUUAAAUAAUGCAUGUAUGUUCUUAGGGGACAUAUAUUAUGGAAAGUACUCAUUCUGAUCUUUAUUAUUAGUUGAAUUGGAAGCAACAGAAAAUUCUUGAGGGAGAAUUUUAGUGAUUUAUCCUUCCAUAACUUCUAUCUUGAGCCCUACUUAGGAGCCUAUGUUCAGACUCUGAGGUAUCCCACUCAACAACUUUGAAGAUUUUUUAUAAAACAUGUUACUCAUUGCAGACUGGGGAGUUACUUGUGAAAUGAAACUGAGAAAAAUUGAGUUGUCAAGGUGAGAUUAACCCAACAGCUUGAGAAACCAAAAAAGAUAAUCAUAUUCUAUGUGACAAAUAUAUUUAUGAGGAAUCUAAGAGACACAUUUGUCUUUAAGCUUUC
rnacentral:lncRNA from 1 species